AACGAACGCUGGCGGCGUGGAUAAGACAUGCGAGUCGAACGCUAAUUUCAGGAUAGCAAUAUUCUGAGGUUGGAGUGGCGCAAGGGUGCGUAACACGUGGGUAAUUUGCCGUGAAGUUGGGGAUAACUCGCUGAAAGGCGAGCUAAUACCGAAUGUGAAAAUCGGAAGGCAUCUUCUGAUUUUUAAAGUUGGGGACCGCAAGGCCUGACGCUUCUCGAUAAGCCCGCGGCCUAUCAGCUAGUUGGUGAGGUAACGGCUCACCAAGGCUAAGACGGGUAGCUGGUCUGAGAGGACGACCAGUCACACUGGAACUGAGACACGGUCCAGACACCUACGGGUGGCAGCAGUCGAGAAUUUUUCUCAAUGGGCGAAAGCCUGAAGGAGCGACGCCGCGUGGGGGAUGAAGGGCUUCGGCUCGUAAACCCCUGUCAUUUGCGAACAAACCUUACGAUUGAACAGAUCGUGAGCUGAUUGUAGCGAAAGAGGAAGGGACGGCUAACUCUGUGCCAGCAGCCGCGGUAAUACAGAGGUCCCAAGCGUUGUUCGGAUUCACUGGGCGUAAAGGGUGCGUAGGUGGCAGGGUAAGUUUGAUGUGAAAUCUCCGGGCUUAACCCGGAAACUGCAUUGAAUACUAUCCUGCUCGAGGGUUGGAGGGGGGACUGGAAUACUUGGUGUAGCAGUGAAAUGCGUAGAUAUCAAGUGGAACACCAGUGGCGAAGGCGAGUCCCUGGACAACUCCUGACACUGAGGCACGAAAGCUAGGGGAGCAAACAGGAUUAGAUACCCUGGUAGUCCUAGCCGUAAACGGUGCAUAUUUGCUGUAAAAGGAAUCGACCCCUUUUGUGGCGUAGCCAACGCGUUAAAUAUGCCGCCUGGGAAGUACGGUCGCAAGAUA
rnacentral:rRNA from 1 species